rnacentral:rRNA from 1 species
CCUACGGGGGGCUGCAGUGGGGAAUUUUGGACAAUGGGGGCAACCCUGAUCCAGCCAUGCCGCGUGAGUGAAGAAGGCCUUCGGGUUGUAAAGCUCUUUCGGCCGGGAAGAAAUCGCUCAAGCUAAUACCUUGGGUGGAUGACGGUACCGGAAGAAGAAGCACCGGCUAACUACGUGCCAGCAGCCGCGGUAAUACGUAGGGUACGAGUGUUAAUCGGAAUUGCGGGGGGGGAAGCAUAAGACAGAGGCGAAAUCCCCGGGCUUAACCUGGGAACUGCGUUUGUGACUGUGGUGCUCGAGUGCGGCAGAGGGGGGUGGAAUUCCACGUGUAGCAGUGAAAUGCGUAGAGAUGUGGAGGAACACCGAUGGCGAAGGCAGCCCCCUGGGUCGACACUGACGCUCAUGCACGAAAGCGUGGGGAGCAAACAGGAUUAGAUACCCGGGUAGUC